rnacentral:rRNA from 1 species
UACGUAGGUGGCAAGCGUUGUCCGGAGUUAUUGGGCGUAAAGCGCGCGCAGGCGGUGCGGUAAGUCUCUGGUGAAAGCGCUCGGCUUAACUGGGCGGGGGCCGGGGAGACUGCCACGCUGGAGGGGAGCAGAGGCGAGUGGAAUUCCGGGUGUAGUGGUGAAAUGCGUAGAGAUCGGAAAGAACACCAACGGCGAAAGCACUCUGCUGGGCCGACACUGACACUGAGAGACGAAAGCUAGGGGAGCGAAUGGG